GCUCCUGGGCCCAGUCUGUGCUGACCCAGCCGUCCUCAGUGUCUGGGGCCCCGGGACAGAGUGUCACCAUCUCCUGCACUGGAAGCAGCUCCAACAUCGGAAGAUACGGUGUGCAGUGGUUCCAGCAGCUCCCGAGAACAGCCCCCAAAACCCUCAUCUAUAGAAAUAGCAAUCGAGCCUCGGGGGUCCCCGACCGAUUCUCUGGGUCCAGAUCCGGCAACUCGGGCUCGCUGACCAUCAGUGGUCUCCAGGCUGAGGACGAGGCCGAAUAUUACUGCUCAGCAUGGGAUAAUAGUCUCAAUGCUCACACAGUGCUCCAGGCCUGUGGGGAA